rnacentral:rRNA from 1 species
ACCAGACUCCUACGGGAGGCAGCAGUGGGGGAUAUUGCACAAUGGGGGGAACCCUGAUGCAGCGACGCCGCGUGGGUGAAGAAGCGCCUCGGCGCGUAAAGCCCUGUCAGCAGGGAAGAAAAUGACGGUACCUGAAGAAGAAGCCCCGGCUAACUACGUGCCAGCAGCCGCGGUAAUACGUAGGGGGCAAGCGUUAUCCGGAUUUACUGGGUGUAAAGGGGGCGCAGACGGCGAUGCAAGCCAGGAGUGAAAGCCCGGGGCCCAACCCCAGGACUGCUCUUGGAACUGCGUGGCUGGAGUGCAGGAGGGGCAGGCGGAAUUCCUGGUGUAGCGGUGAAAUGCGUAGAUAUCAGGAGGAACACCGGUGGCGAAGGCGGCCUGCUGGACUGCAACUGACGUUGAGGCCCGAAAGCGUGGGGAGCAAACAGGAUUAGAUACCCGUGUAA